GCUGUUUAAGAAGUAUACAUGUAGUCAAAAAAAUCAAAUGAAAAUAAAAAAAAAAAAAAAAAAAAUAUACAUUACAAAUGCAUUGUCAUGAUUGUAGCAAAUAUUUCUUAUCAGGAUUGUGUUAGGUACUUCUUGAUACUUUGCUUAAAAGUAAAAGUGUUUUGAGCCUUACGCAUUUUGUGUGGUAGUCCAUUCCAUAAUACUGAUCCAGAAUAAGCAAAGGAUUUCUUAAAUAGUUCAGCUUUUGGCUUAGGAACUAUCAGAUUACCUUGAGUGACACCUCUUAAGGAGUAAGGAUUAUUAUCUGAUUUCAGUUUAAACUUUUGAACUAGGUACAUUGGUGCUUCCAUACGCAUACAUUUAUAUAGAAGUAAAUAUUUGUGGUAAUUUAUUCUAUUGUCAACUGUCAUCCACCCAAGUUUUUUAAAUAAGGGGGCUGAGGGGGAUAAAGGAUCUGCAUCUAGAAUUAAUCUUGCUGC
rnacentral:lncRNA from 1 species